GGUUAAGCGACUAAGCGUACACGGUGGAUGCCCUGGCAGUCAGAGGCGAUGAAGGACGUGCUAAUCUGCGAAAAGCGUCGGUAAGGUGAUAUGAACCGUUAUAGCCGGCGAUGUCCGAAUGGGGAAACCCAGUGCAAUUCGUUGCACUAUCGUUAACUGAAUACAUAGGUUAACGAGGCGAACCGGGGGAACUGAAACAUCUAAGUACCCCGAGGAAAAGAAAUCAACCGAGAUUCCCCCAGUAGCGGCGAGCGAACGGGGAGCAGCCCAGAGUCUGAAUCAGCUUGUGUGUUAGUGGAACGGUCUGGAAAGUCCGACGGUACAGGGUGAUAGUCCCGUACACCAAAAUGCACAGGCUGUGAACUCGAAGAGUAGGGCGGGACACGUGGUAUCCUGUCUGAAUAUGGGGGGACCAUCCUCCAAGGCUAAAUACUCCUGACUGACCGAUAGUGAACCAGUACCGUGAGGGAAAGGCGAAAAGAACCCCGGCGAGGGGAGUGAAAAAGAACCUGAAACCGUGUACGUACAAGCAGUGGGAGCACCUUCGGGUGUGACUGCGUACCUUUUGUAUAAUGGGUCAGCGACUUAUAUUCUGUAGCAAGGUUAACCGUAUAGGGGAGCCGCAGGGAAACCGAGUCUUAACUGGGCGUUAAGUUGCAGGGUAUAGACCCGAAACCCGGUGAUCUAGCCAUGGGCAGGUUGAAGGUUGGGUAACACUAACUGGAGGACCGAACCGACUAAUGUUGAAAAAUUAGCGGAUGACUUGUGGCUGGGGGUGAAAGGCCAAUCAAACCGGGAGAUAGCUGGUUCUCCCCGAAAGCUAUUUAGGUAGCGCCUCGUGAAUUCAUCUUCGGGGGUAGAGCACUGUUUCGGCUAGGGGGUCAUCCCGACUUACCAACCCGAUGCAAACUACGAAUACCGAAGAAUGUUAUCACGGGAGACACACGGCGGGUGCUAACGUCCGUCGUGAAGAGGGAAACAACCCAGACCGCCAGCUAAGGUCCCAAAGUCAUGGUUAAGUGGGAAACGAUGUGGGAAGGCACAGACAGCCAGGAUGUUGGCUUAGAAGCAGCCAUCAUUUAAAGAAAGCGUAAUAGCUCACUGGUCGAGUCGGCCUGCGCGGAAGAUGUAACGGGGCUAAACCAUGCACCGAAGCUGCGGCAGCGACACUAUGUGUUGUUGGGUAGGGGAGCGUUCUGUAAGCCUGCGAAGGUGACCUGUGAGGGUUGCUGGAGGUAUCAGAAGUGCGAAUGCUGACAUAAGUAACGAUAAAGCGGGUGAAAAGCCCGCUCGCCGGAAGACCAAGGGUUCCUGUCCAACGUUAAUCGGGGCAGGGUGAGUCGACCCCUAAGGCGAGGCCGAAAGGCGUAGUCGAUGGGAAACAGGUUAAUAUUCCUGUACUUGGUGUUACUGCGAAGGGGGGACGGAGAAGGCUAUGUUAGCCGGGCGACGGUUGUCCCGGUUUAAGCAUGUAGGCUGGUUAUCCAGGCAAAUCCGGAUAAUCAAGGCUGAGGUGUGAUGACGAGGCACUACGGUGCUGAAGUAACAAAUGCCCUGCUUCCAGGAAAAGCCUCUAAGCAUCAGGUAACAUCAAAUCGUACCCCAAACCGACACAGGUGGUCAGGUAGAGAAUACCAAGGCGCUUGAGAGAACUCGGGUGAAGGAACUAGGCAAAAUGGUGCCGUAACUUCGGGAGAAGGCACGCUGGUGUGUAGGUGAAGUCCCUGCGGAUGGAGCUGAGACCAGUCGAAGAUACCAGCUGGCUGCAACUGUUUAUUAAAAACACAGCACUGUGCAAACACGAAAGUGGACGUAUACGGUGUGACGCCUGCCCGGUGCCGGAAGGUUAAUUGAUGGGGUUAUCCGUAAGGAGAAGCUCUUGAUCGAAGCCCCGGUAAACGGCGGCCGUAACUAUAACGGUCCUAAGGUAGCGAAAUUCCUUGUCGGGUAAGUUCCGACCUGCACGAAUGGCGUAAUGAUGGCCAGGCUGUCUCCACCCGAGACUCAGUGAAAUUGAACUCGCUGUGAAGAUGCAGUGUACCCGCGGCAAGACGGAAAGACCCCGUGAACCUUUACUAUAGCUUGACACUGAACAUUGAGCCUUGAUGUGUAGGAUAGGUGGGAGGCUUUGAAGCGUGGACGCCAGUCUGCGUGGAGCCAACCUUGAAAUACCACCCUUUAAUGUUUGAUGUUCUAACGUUGGCCCCUGACCGGGGUUGCGGACAGUGUCUGGUGGGUAGUUUGACUGGGGCGGUCUCCUCCCAAAGCGUAACGGAGGAGCACGAAGGUUAGCUAAUCCUGGUCGGACAUCAGGAGGUUAGUGCAAUGGCAUAAGCUAGCUUGACUGCGAGCGUGACGGCGCGAGCAGGUGCGAAAGCAGGUCAUAGUGAUCCGGUGGUUCUGAAUGGAAGGGCCAUCGCUCAACGGAUAAAAGGUACUCCGGGGAUAACAGGCUGAUACCGCCCAAGAGUUCAUAUCGACGGCGGUGUUUGGCACCUCGAUGUCGGCUCAUCACAUCCUGGGGCUGAAGUAGGUCCCAAGGGUAUGGCUGUUCGCCAUUUAAAGUGGUACGCGAGCUGGGUUUAGAACGUCGUGAGACAGUUCGGUCCCUAUCUGCCGUGGGCGCUGGAGAAUUGAGGGGGGCUGCUCCUAGUACGAGAGGACCGGAGUGGACGCAUCACUGGUGUUCGGGUUGUCAUGCCAAUGGCACUGCCCGGUAGCUAAAUGCGGAAGAGAUAAGUGCUGAAAGCAUCUAAGCACGAAACUUGCCCCGAGAUGAGUUCUCCCUGAGACUUUAAGUCUCCUGAAGGAACGUUAAAGACGAUGACGUUGAUAGGCCGGGUGUGUAAGCGCAGCGAUGCGUUGAGCUAACCGGUACUAAUGAACCGUGAGGCUUAACCUU
rnacentral:rRNA from 2 species